UUCAGUUUAAAUGGUUCUUUGUGUAUAUUUUUCAGUUUCUAUGUGGUAAGGGGUGAAUAAAUUAACCAUCAGUGUAAUUAAAAUCAGUGUAAAUGGCUGCAUGAAAAGAUGUCUGUGAAUUUUAUUGUUUGACAAUCAUUGUCAUUUUAUGCAGAAGCAAAAGUUUAUAGUUAAACCGUAGUGCUUCCCACUGAGCAAACGUACGUCCAGAUGACGUCAUUUCAACGUCUUUGUCGGAAUAUAGACAUGAUCUGCACGUCGGGUGGACGUCUCAUGUUUGUUGGAUCUUGGACUCCAAAAGUGAUUUGCAGAAGACAUCUUGGAAUGCAUGGGGCUGGAUUUUCUGAUGCUUACUGCUCGCAUCUCUGCCUCCUGAACAGAAAUGCCUUGCUGGAUGUUGAAUGACCAUCAACUCAACCUUGCCAAGACAAAACUGCUCAUGUUUUCAGCCAGACCAACCUUGGUGUUAAAAUGGACACAUAUGAACUUCAUUGACCACAUCACAGUGGCCCAAUCCUGCAGAUUUGCCCUUAUGGGGCAUGCAACAGAACUGCUUGUCCAAGCUCUUAUUUUCUCUCCAUUCACAUCACAUCACAAAGAGGUACAAAUUCACUUUCACAGACCUUUACUUUGACUGUUUGAUGCUGUCGUUAUAAACUGCCUAACUCUGCCCAUUUUCAAGAAAUGGCUAAAAAAUUAUUUUUUUUGUUUUUCAUGAACACUUGACCAAUUAAACAGGUAGUUCACCCAAAAAUCGAUUCACUCGCGAUUUACUCACCCUCAAUCCAUUGUAUGUGUACAUGACUUUCUUCUUUCAGACAAACAC